rnacentral:lncRNA from 1 species
GUCUGGUCGUGUUGGGGUGUCUGUCUGGUAGUUUUGGAGUGACUGUCUGAUAGUGUUGGGGUGUCUCUCUGGUCAUGUUGGUGUGUCUGUCUGGUAUGUUGGGGUGUCUGUCUGAUAGUGUUGGGGUGUCUGUCUGAUAGUGUUGGGGUGUCUGUCUGAUAGUGGUGGGCUGUCUGUCUGAUAGCGUUGUGGUAUCUGUCUGAUAGUGUUGGGGUGUCUGUCUGGUCGUGUUGGGGUGUCUGUCUGAUAGUGUUGGGGUAUCUGUCUGGUCGUGUUGGGGUAUCUGUCCGGUAGUGUUGGGAUGUCUGUCUCGUCGUGUUGGGGUGUCUGUCUAAUAGUGUUGGGGUGUCUGUCUGGUCGUGUUGGGGUGGCUGUCUGAUAGUGUUGGAGUGUCUGUCUGGUAGUGUUGAGGUGUCUGUCUGGUAGUGUUG